CGCCGGCCGGCCGUCCCCAGCGCAGGCCCUGGACGCCACCGCCGCCCCACCCGCGCCCGCGCCCGCCCCUCCCGCCGGCCGGAGGGAGGGACCUGGUUCUCCUAGGAAGUUUCAGAAAUAGAUUUAUUGGGCUCAGAUGCAGAUGCUUUUUCAGAUUGAAUGUCAUCUUCUCUAGUCGUUACAUUCCAGAGCAGGAAGUAGACUCUAUAGGAGCCUGCUUAUCCCCAGGUUGAAUUGCUAGCCAUCUAAGUUACUCAAGUGAGAAACUGAGUCAUUCGUCUUCCUUUACAAAAUUACUUAAAUUCUGUUCACUUCUCUCCAUCUUCAAUGCCACUGCCAUGGACCACAGUCUAUGAGGAAUGCUUGAAUUAGAAGACAGGGAGAGAAGUUUGAACCUCAAUGUAAAAAAAGACCUUAUACACAUAUAUUUAGUAUUAAUUCCAAAUUUAAUAAUAUAAACAGAUAGAGAUUCACAACAUCAAUUAAAACUUCUUUCAACUUUGUGCUUUUUAUUGGCAGGCAACAACUUUAUAUUCCUUGGUAUCACUAAACUGUGUAUAAUUAGAGACACAGCAUUCUAGAAAAGCAGGCAACAGAAUUAAACUGAGCAAACUUAAGGGAAGGUCAGUCUUCAUUAUGUUACCCGUUUUUCAUUAUGUGUACACUGAAGCACAAAUGCAAUUUGAAGUCGUUUUUUGUUUGUUUUUGUUAUUAAAUAUAUUUUGAUUGAUUUCAGAGAAAAAAGGGAGAGGGAGAGAGAGAAACAUCAAUGAUGAGAGAGAAUCAUUGAUUAGUUG